AUCCGGACAUCCGUCUCGUUGCCGGCAAACUGCCGAACGAAGGUCGUGUCGAAGUACGUUAUAAUGGCGAAUUUGGGACAAUUUGCGACGACAAUUUUGGCCAGGAAGACGCCAUGGUGGUUUGUCGAAUGCUUGGCUAUGAUCCACGGGGAGGGGUCACCGUCAAGGCAAGCGCAGCGUAUGGACGCGGAAGUGGGACCAUCUGGAUGGACGAUAUCAACUGUAUAGGUGACGAGCUCAACGUAACGUCCUGUAUUUUUAAUGGCUGGGGCAAUCAUAACUGUGGUCAUUGGGAAGAUGUUGGGGUAAUCUGUCAUGGAAAUAGACUCAAGGAAACCAAGCCAGGCGCGUUGCUAUCCCAGCUACACUUCUUAUUGGUGAAUGAAACAACGGAUGGAAUCAAAAUUCAUGGAAGACUUCCCCAGAUGAAUGCUGUGUCUGUAACGUUUUCAUCGGCUGAUGGUUUUUUGUUUGAAUACCCCAUUGUACGACAGGAUACAUCAAUAAAUAUGCUGUUAGCUGCAUUUAAUUCCAAAGCAGGGAUACACGUAUACUUUGGUCGCCAGGAGUUUGCUCCAUACCUUAAUGUUAAUUCGGUCUUCCUUCGGAAUAACACUAACACUGGCAUACGAGUGGAGAAUAAUGGCAAGCUUGAGGUAAACAGUUGUGAAGUGUACGGUUCAAAAACCGCAAUCAGUCUUGAGUCGAACUUAGCAGGUUCCUUGAUUUUCCGUGCUUGUGAUUUCCACGAUAAUUCCGAGCGAGU